rnacentral:rRNA from 1 species
UACGAAGGGGCUAGCGUUGCUCGGAAUCACUAGGCGUAAAGGGUGCGUAGGCGGGUCUUUAAGUCAGGGGUGAAAUCCUGGAGCUCAACUCCAGAACUGCCUUUGAUACUGAAGAUCUUGAGUUCGGGAGAGGUGAGUGGAACUGCGAGUGUAGAGGUGAAAUUCGUAGAUAUUCGCAAGAACACCAGUGGCGAAGGCGGCUCACUGGCCCGAUACUGACGCUGAGGCACGAAAGCGUGGGGAGCAAACAGG